CGCGCGGUGGCUCAGUUGAAAGAGCAUUGGCCCGGAGAGCCAAAGGUUCCAAGUCUCGGCUGCGUUA